rnacentral:rRNA from 1 species
GACGAACGCUGGCGGCGUGCUUAACACAUGCAAGUCGAGCGGUAAGGCCCUUUCGGGGGUACACGAGCGGCGAACGGGUGAGUAACACGUGGGUGACCUGCCCUCAGCUCUGGGAUAAGCCUGGGAAACCGGGUCUAAUACUGGAUAUGACUCCAUGACGCAUGUUGUGGGGUGAAAGCCUUGUGCGGCUGAGGAUGGGCCCGCGGCCUAUCCAGCUUGUUGGUGGGGUNAGGCCUACCGAAGGCGACGACGGGUAGCCGGCCUGAGAGGGCGACCGGCCACACUGGGACUGAGACACGGCCCAGACUCCUACGGGAGGCAGCAGUGGGGAAUCUUGCGCAAUGGGCGAAAGCCUGACGCAGCGACGCGCGUGAGGGAUGACGG